UACGGAGGGUGCAAGCGUUAAUCGGAAUUACUGGGCGUAAAGGGUGCGUAGGUGGUUUAUUAAGUUAUCUGUGAAAUCCCUGGGCUUAACCUGGGCAGGUCAGAUAAAACUGAUAGACUCGAGUAUGGGAGAGGGUAGUGGAAUUUCCGGUGUAGCGGUGAAAUGCGUAGAGAUCGGAAGGAACACCAGUGGCGAAGGCGGCUACCUGGCCCAAUACUGACACUGAGGCACGAAAGCGUGGGGAGCAAACAGG
rnacentral:rRNA from 1 species